UUUUCCUGUGGCUCAGGUAGUAUGGCAGUGCACUAACAAUGCAAAGGUCAUGGGUUAAAAUCCCAAGAGAAGGCAAAA